GCGCUGAGAUCACGCCACUGCACUCCCGCCUGAAUGGCGGGAACAAAACUCCAUCUCAAAAAACAAAAAAUCCACAUGAAUAAAUAUAGCAUAAGUCCACUGCCUAAGAUGAUAAAAGAAAAAUUAGGUAAAGGCAAAUGAAGGUUAAGUCUAGUAUAGCCUAUAGGAAAAAAUUAUCUGUACUGCUAAAUAAAACUGAUAGUCAAAGCUCCCAGUCCCAUAAAUCAGAUCAUGCCCAAAUGAAUGCAUAAAAAUCCACCAAGAGGGAGUCUCUGAGCCUAUUGUGGCUCAGGAGGCUGCCUGAUUGGAAAA